rnacentral:lncRNA from 1 species
CCGGCCUACCAGCACUGAUCCGUUUCCCACGUCCUGCGCCCGGAUCUGGCAAAGCUCGGGGCCGCGUAGGAGGAGGAGGAGGAGGAGGAGAAGGGCCUCCGAUCGCCGCGCGGUGGCGCCGCGGCGGCGGCGGCGGCGGCGGCGGCGGCGGCGGCGGCGGCGGCGGCGGAGGAGAGGGACGUGGAGCGGUCGUAGCGGGCGCGCUGGUCGGGGUCGGAGAGGGUGGCGUAGGCGGCGUGGAUGCGGAUGAACUCGUCGGCGGAGGCGCCGCGGACGACGUCGGGGUGGCGCUCGCGCGCGAGGCGCCGGUACGCGGCCUUGAUCUCGCGCCCCGUCGCCGCCGCGCCGAUCCCGAGCACGUCGUACAGCGUUCCGCCGGCUGCGGCGGAGGGUGCGGCGGCGGCGGCGGAGGCGCGGAGGCGGAGGCGACGGGGGAGAGGAGGGGGACGGGGAGGGUUCCGAAGCCCGAGAAGGGAGUUCGGAGAGGAGAGGGAGAGCGAUGCAACAGCAACCAUGGAGAAUACGGAGAUGGGGAGAGAUUGGAGAGGUUGAAGACGAUGGUUUGGGGGGAUUACCAUUAUUAUAAGCAGGGGGAGGGGGAGGCGAUAUCCGCGCCUCUCUAUCUAUGGACGGAGAUACUCUUUGACUCUUGAGGGUACAGAAGAUCAUUGCGUAGACCUGCUGCACUCUUUUUAUUUUUGGACCGCUCCCUCUUUUUCCGGCAUCUUCCCGAAUGAUUCAAGAACUUUUCUCUCUGCUGGCCAAGUGAAAAGAAAAUCUAGAAUAAGAUGCUGUACAAUGCUGUUCGAUAAAUAUACUGUAAUUCAUUCAUUCAUGUCUCUCCGAACAAAAUAUAUUGUAUUUAGGAGCAAAGCUUGUGUGCUUCUAAAAGCACGGUAGUUUCUGUGCCAUUAAAUCGUUUUUGUUGUUGAAACUUUCGAAUCAACGAUCGAUUUUCUUAGAUUUGAUCUAGAGUACUGAAAAUAUGUAGAAUAUAAAUUCUAUAAUUUUUCAUUAUCAUCUGUCGAAAAAAUUCAAAAUUAAAAAUUUUAAUGAUUGUAGUGAGUUAUUCUUAAAUUUAAUAAUGUAGAAAUAUUUAAAAUAAAUGAAAUUCUAAUAGAAAAUUAUUUAUACUUAUAAGGCAAAAUAAAUAUAAACUUUAGUAUUAUAUUUUGUUACAUUUUUAUUUUUUGAAAAUAUUCCAAAUUAAAUUCAAACAAAACUAAUCGCUGAUUUAAAAAUUCUAAAUAUUAUAAAUCCUGUUAUAGUACGGAGGCCACCGUACCUUCAAAAAUAAAAAUACACAAAUAAGGUCCGAUAUUUAAUCUUUAAACUAAAAAGUAUUUUGAAUGAGAUAAAAUAUUUAAUACUAAGUAAAAUAUAAAUUAUCUGAACAAAUUAAUUACAACAGCAUCAAGACAGUCUCCUUCCUUGGGGUGAUAAAAAUAAGCAGUCGACAACUGAAGAUCGAAGGAAGUCUGGGUAGAAAAGUUUCCAAUUUGGCCGGGGGUGCUUAUCCGCUGGGGACGGCGGGGUGAGUCAGCGAGGGGUCGGAUUGGCUGUCACGGAACGGAGAGUGCAGUCUGGAGUCUGGACCGCGCAAAAAACAAAUCACACGCAAGAGCCAGCGGAAGACUGGCAUCGGGUUGGAAAACUCGGAAGCGGGGAUAGCGAGGGUGUCGCCUUAGUCAUGCUCGAGCUGGACUGGUACGAUGUCACCGGAUUGGAUUGGCCCCACACCCCUCCCCCACCACAACCGGGUCCGGAUAGGGUUGGCCCCACACCGGACGUGGCAGUGGAUAGAUUAAUUCCAAUAAGUCAUGUCUCUUCUUUUUUUUCUUUUUUUUUUUUGAAAAAAUUUUUCUCAAUAUAAAUUUUAAUAUUUGGUGGGGCACAUAACUCUAAUGUGAAGUUGAGGAUGAUCUCAUAAGAGGAUGGGAUCCGAAAUGAGAGGUUCGGGGGG